CGGCGGAGAAAGCACGUGGUCCUCUUGCAGUUUACUGUGGAGACAGGGGAGAAGUGCUACAAGGAGUAGCAACUUUAUUUCCAAGACAAACUGUGUACCCUUUGAAACACAAGAAAGCAAGAAGAGAUUCUUUCAAGACUCUUUGAUCUCCUUCCACGAUCUUUUUAUCAAUUUACAAAGGCAGAGAACCCCUGUAGCAUAAGAGUAGUGAAGAACAAGCAUUUGAACAGGUGGGAAGAGAUUCCAAAGAUGUUCCAGAUGAAAUUCAAAGAGAAAAGAUAAAUUGUGUGAAGAGCUGAAAGAAAAAAAGAAUGAUGUAGAGAUACCAUCCAA